rnacentral:rRNA from 1 species
AGCGAACGCUGGCGGCAGGCCUAACACAUGCAAGUCGAACGAACCUUUCGGGGUUAGUGGCGGAUGGGUGAGUAACACGUGGGAACGUGCCUUUAGGUUCGGAAUAACUCAGGGAAACUUGUGCUAAUACCGAAUGUGCCCCUCGGGGGAAAGAUUAAUCGCCUUUAGAGCGGCCCGCGUCUGAUUAGUUAGUUGGUUGAGGUAAUGGCUCACCAAGGCGACGAUCAGUAGCUGGUCUGAGAGGAUGAUCAGCCACAUUGGGACUGAGACACGGCCCAAACUCCUACGGGAGGCAGCAGUGGGGAAUCUUGCGCAAUGGGCGAAAGCCUGACGCAGCCAUGCCGCGUGAAUGAUGAAGGUCUUAGGAUUGUAAAAUUCUUUCACCGGAGACGAUAAUGACGUUACCCGGAGAAGAAGCCCCGGCUAACUUCGUG